UUUCCCGGUUGAUCCCGCCGGACCUGACUGCUAUCGGAUUGAUACUAAGCCAUGCGAGUCAUUGUAGCAAUACAAGGCAGACGGCUCAGUAACGCGUAGUCAACCUACCCUAUGGACGGGGAUAACCUCGGGAAACUGAGAAUAAUACCCGAUAGAACAUUAUACCUGGAAUGGUUUAUGUUUCAAAUAAUUUAUUGCCGUAGGAUGGGACUGCGGCCUAUCAGUUUGUUGGUGAGGUAAUGGCCCACCAAGACUAUUACAGGUACGGGCUCUGAGAGGAGUAGCCCGGAGAUGGGUACUGAGACACGGACCCAGGCCCUAUGGGGCGCAGCAGGCGAGAAAACUUUGCAAUGUGCGAAAGCACGACAAGGUUAAUCCGAGUGGUUUCUGCUAAAGGAACCUUUUGUCAGUCCUAGAAACACUGGUGAAUAAGGGGUGGGCAAGUUCUGGUGUCAGCCGCCGCGGUAAAACCAGCACCUCAAGUGGUCAGGAUGAUUAUUGGGCCUAAAGCAUCCGUAGCCUGCUUUGUUAGUUUUCGGUUAAAUCCAUACGCUCAACGUAUGGGCUGCCGGGAAUACUGCAAAGCUAGGGAGUGGGAGAGGUAGACGGUACUCGGUAGGAAGGGGUAAAAUCCUUUGAUCUAUUGAUGACCACCUGUGGCGAAGGCGGUCUACCAGAACACGUCCGACGGUGAGGGAUGAAAGCUGGGGGAGCAAACCGGAUUAGAUACCCGGGUAGUCCCAGCUGUAAACUAUGCAAACUCGGUGAUGCAUUGGCUUGAUGCCAAUGCAGUGCCGCAGGGAAGCCGUUAAGUUUGCCGCCUGGGAAGUACGUACGCAAGUAUGAAACUUAAAGGAAUUGGCGGGGGAGCACCACAAGGGGUGAAGCCUGCGGUUCAAUUGGAUUCAACGCCGGG
rnacentral:rRNA from 1 species